rnacentral:rRNA from 1 species
GAUGAACGCUGGCGGCGUGCUUAACACAUGCAAGUCGAACGGAAAGGCCCUGCUCUUGUUGCGUUCUCGUUUGGCGAACGGGUGAGUAACACGUGAGUAACCUGCCCUUGACUUUGGGAUAACUCUAGGAAACUGGGGCUAAUACCGGAUAGGAGCUCCUGCUGCACGGGGGGGGUUGGAAAGUUCCGGUGGUUGUGGCUGGAUUCGAGGCUUAUCAGCUUGUUGGUAGGGUAGUGGCUUACCAAGGCUUGGACGGGUAGCCGGCCUGGGAGGGUGACCGGCGACAUUGGGACUGAGGGACGGCCCAGACGCCUACGGGCGGCAGCGGGGGAGAGUCUUGCGCAAUGGGCGGAAGCCUGAGGCAGCGACGCCGGGUGCGGAAUGACGGCCUUUGGGUGGUAAACAGCUUUCGCAUGUGCCGAGGCGUGAGUGACGGUACUGAGUAAAGAAGCACCGGCUAACUACGU